AAAACAGAUCAAAAUUCUUCAUUAAUUUCGUAUUUGAAUGUUCAAAAAUAAAAACAAAAGGUCACAUGUUAUUGUUGUAUUGUAUUCCUUUGCAUUAAUACUAUCGCUUUGCAAUUAUACGAAUUAUGCAUGCUUAACAAUACACUAAUUAAUAGUACUAUGUUUAUUGUGUGACAUUUCUUUGUAUAAACAAAUUCAAAAAAAAAUUAUCAUUCAUGCAAAGUAGUCUUAUGAUUAAUACAGUUUUAAUGUUUCAUGAAAGAACAUGUUGACAAUCAAUAAACUCAUCUUAGAUACCAGGAUUUUAUUUGUGUACUCCAGACGCGCGUUUGGUCUAUAAAAGACUCAACAAAAGACCCCCCAAAAAAAGCUAUUCAAUUAUAGUGUUUUCUUAGUUUCUUUUAGCAUAGAUAAUGUGUUUUGAUAUAUAAUCAGUUAUUCUAUUUGAACCGCUGUGUGUAUACUGACUUGCAAUGGUGAGUAGGAUUAUUUCUAUCCAAACCAAUUUGUUAAUUCUGCACGAAUGUCUAUGAAAUAUAAGAAAAUAGUAUUAACACAGAUGAAUUCAAAACGGACAAUAUGUCAAGGGUCUAAGCGUUCCAUACUAUAUACAAAUAAGAAGAUGUAGUAUGAAUACCAAUGAGAAACUCUCCAUCCAAGUCACAAUUUGUAAAAAGUAAACAAUUAUAGGUCAAAGUACGGCCUUCAACACGGAGCCUUGGCUCACACCGAACAGCAAGCUAUAAAGGGCCCCAAAAUGACAAGUGUAAAACAAUUCAAACAGGAAAACCAACAGUCUAAUCUAUAUAAAAAACGAGAAACGAGAAACACUUAAGAACCAUAUCAACAUACGACAACCACUGAAACAGUAUCCUGACUUAGGACAGGUGCAAACAAAUGCAGCGGGAUUAUUUAAUCAAAGUCUGACAUUAAGGAAGCAGUUGCAAUCGGUAGGUCUCUAGAUCAUACGACUUUUGAUGUAUCUAAUUCUCAAACACUAAUAACUGAGCUUUAGUAAGUUGAAAAGAUGAAAGUUGUUCCUGGAACAAUGGAAAAAAUUAAAAAAAAAAGUAUAAGGAAACUAUAUUUGAUCUGAACAGCUCUUUACAGAAUGUGCAAUAAACGAUACGUCAUAUCAAGUCUUACAUUAACAUGUUAGCCUUAUCCUCCGCUACAAACUUAGAAUUAUUCAUACAAUUUGCCGGCAGGCAAUACAGGUAUGUGUUGUUAAUGGACAGACUUUUUUUUUAUCUAUAAAAAACACAAAAUAUUCAAUUAUCUGAUAAACUAUUGAAGAGAACGAGAUUGAACAAAUGCAAAAUGUUGGAACACUAUUGUAUAAACAAACAAAACCAACUUUCCGCACAAGACUUGACAUUUGCAAAUUAUGCUGAAAUCGAAACGGUCGUUUAAGUUUUAAAUUCUUUUAAAAGGAUAUCAGUUUGUUGUUUGUUGUUUUUUUUAACAUACAUCACAGAACAUAACAAUUAAUUGUAAAAAAAAGGGUGUUUCAAUGAAAGUGUCUUUAUUAUUCGCCAUUGUAAACUUCAGUGCAGUUAUAUAAAUCAAUGAAGUUGCUUUGUGUUAGAUGUUUUUAUUUGAUUGUAUUUCAUGGGAUAAACACAAGUGACAAGUAAAUCAGAAAUGUAUUACUUAAAGGAAACUAAACGAUUAUAAACUAAACAAGACCGGCAGUAUCAAAAAGGAAUGCGUGGUACAUCUUUGAUAAACUAAAAACGGAUAUAAAAAAUCGAAUUUAUGAAUUCAUGUGUGUCGCCAAAACAACAAGAAAAAUAGAGACUAUUGCAAUAAAUGACAGGUCGAGCUUUAUGUUUGGAGUUAUUUGGAGAGACUGAGGACAUAUGUUUACAAUAUGAAUUUGAUAAUUCUAUUAUUCAGAACAAUGUCCACAAGAAAGGAACUAUUGAUUUGUUUCGUUUGAUUUUGAAGAAGAUGAGACAUGCAUAAAAAGUAUGAGCUAAUAUUAAAUUGAAAUUGGAGAUCAGCCGAGAACUCAAGAUUUAAAAAACUAUAUAUAUGUUGCAAAUGAAAUAACAUGUCUUUCUAAUAUAAUUCACCCAACAAUA